GCUGAGCUGUGAUGGGGAAGCUCCUUAUGGAGCGAAGUCUUUGAUUCCCCGCUGCCAAGAAAAGCUUCUAGCGAGAUAAAAGGUGCCUGUACCGCAAACCGACACAGGUAGGCGAGGAGAGAAUCCUAAGGUGUGCGAGAGAACUCUGGUUAAGGAACUCGGCAAAAUGACCCCGUAACUUCGGGAGAAGGGGUGCUUUCUUAACGGAAAGCCGCAGUGAAUAGGCCCAAGCGACUGUUUAGCAAAAACACAGCUCUCUGCGAAGCCGUAAGGCGAAGUAUAGGGGGUGACACCUGCCCGGUGCUGGAAGGUUAAGGAGAGGGGUUAGCGUAAGCGAAGCUCUGAACUGAAGCCCCAGUAAACGGCGGCCGUAACUAUAACGGUCCUAAGGUAGCGAAAUUCCUUGUCGGGUAAGUUCCGACCCGCACGAAAGGUGUAACGAUUUGGGCACUGUCUCAACCAGAGACUCGGUGAAAUUAUAGUACCUGUGAAGAUGCAGGUUACCCGCGACAGGACGGAAAGACCCCGUGGAGCUUUACUGUAGCCUGAUAUUGAAUUUUGGUACAGUUUGUACAGGAUAGGCGGGAGCCAUUGAAACCGGAGCGCUAGCUUCGGUGGAGGCGCUGGUGGGAUACCGCCCUGACUGUAUUGAAAUUCUAACCUACGGGUCUUAUCGACCCGGGAGACAGUGUCAGG
rnacentral:rRNA from 1 species